GAAAGUGUAGCUCAGUUGGUAGAGUGCAUGCUUAGCAUACACAAGGUCCUGGGUUCAAUCCCCAGUACCUCCU
rnacentral:tRNA from 1 species